AUGUGGCUGAUGGCUGUCAUAUUACUGGAAGGUGGAGGGAGCUAUGACACAAAUUUAAUUAAAAGGUCCUAUUACUGCUGGAUUUGCAAGAUUUUUUAAAUACAAUUUUUCCUUUGAAUUAUGACUUAAAUAUAAAAAAUCUUUAAAUUUUUUUUAAAAAGGGAAGUAUUUUAGUUUUGGAAGUCAGAAUGCCAAGGAAAAGGAAAAAUGUUGGGGGCAAUACUUUGCGGAAGACUGCAAACGCUCAGGAAAUUGUCGUAUCCCAUGUUGCUAGUCAUGAGGACCCAACUACUACUCUUCCUUCCGUGUGUGAGAAAAAAAUUGAUCAGGAAGAACUCUUCACCAGUAUCUCAGAGAUGUUUUCUGCUCUGGAUCCUGAUGUAGUGUAUUUGAUGCUUUCUGAAUGUGAUUUUAAAGUUGAAAAUGCCAUGGAUUGCCUAUUAGAAUUAUCUGCUACUGAUGCCAAGAUGGAAGAAUCAUCUUCACAAAGUUCUGUUGCUUGUGAGAACAAGCCAGGUGUGUCAGGGAGUGCAGUGAUGGAGACGAGUCUUCCUGAAGCGGAGAGUGAAGAUUCAAAACUGGAUUCCUUUUUGGAUAUGCAGCUAACUGAAGACUUGGAUUCCUUAAUACAGAAUGCUUUUGAGAAAUUGAACUCUUCUCCCGAUGACCAAGUAUAUUCAUUUUUGCCUUUGCAAGAUGCUAAUAGUUUUAUUGACCCUUCUACCUUUAUGAAUUCAGAUUCAAGUGGUAUGACUAUUCCUUCCAUACAAAAUACAGGCUCAAACAGUGAAAUUCUCAAGAAUCCUGCUUCUUCUCUAGGUUCAAGCCCACUGAUUUCACGUUCAGUUUUGAAUGAACCUGAAAGUAUUACUAAGGGUGGCACACUGGCAUCGGAAGGCAGCUGCCCCGAAGAGUCUCCUCCCAGCAGCUCUGUAACUCCAACAAAUGACUCUGUUGUGGGUUGUGGCAGUUUCAGCCAAAGGCAGAAAGAUGCUUUAGAAUCCGAGUGUCCUAGUGUACAGCAUUCUCAAGCCCCUGUAGAUUUGGGUACCAGUGAACCUCAGGCUCCUCUAAAUCCUCCUCUGCACAAUUCAGGGCCUAAUUUACCAGGUACAGAUGGGGAUCAGAAAUCUGCUUCUGUGCCUGACGUUUUUGUGCCCUCUGAAGGGUUCAGUUUCAAGCCACACAAGCAUCCUGAACUGCCACCCAAGGGGAAGGAUAUGAAUUACUGCCCAGUUCUUACCCCUCUCCCUUUACUCCUUCCUCCCCCACCACCUCCACCAAUUUGGAACCCAAUGAUUCCUGCUUUUGACCUCUUUCAAGGAAACCGUGGCUUUGUAGCACCUGUUGUAACCACAGCUGCACACUGGAGACCUGUCAACUACACGUUUCCGCCCUCCAUCAUCUCCCACACUUCCCCAACAAAAGUAUGGAGAAGCAGCGAGGGAACAAGUGCUUAUCAGGUGCAGGAGGCCCCAUCGUCUCAGCCUGCCAGGAAGAAGACCACGUCUUACGUUGGCUUAGUUCUUGUUCUUCUCAGAGGGCUGCCGGGCUCAGGGAAAUCCUUUCUGGCAAGGACUUUGCAAGAGGAUAACCCAAGUGGGGUCAUUCUUAGUACUGAUGAUUAUUUCUAUAUAAACGGACAAUACCAAUUUGAUGUGAAGUACUUGGGAGAAGCCCAUGAGUGGAACCAGAAUCGAGCAAAAGAAGCAUUUGAGAAGAAGGUGUCGCCAAUAAUCAUAGAUAACACAAACCUCCAAGCAUGGGAGAUGAAGCCAUAUGUUGCUUUGUCUCAAAAGCAUAAAUAUAAGGUCCUUUUCCGGGAACCAGACACAUGGUGGAAAUUCAAACCAAAGGAGCUCGCAAGGCGUAAUAUCCAUGGAGUAAGCAAAGAGAAGAUAGCAAGAAUGCUGGAGCACUACCAGCGCUUUGUGUCUGUGCCGAUAAUCAUGAGUUCUUCAGACCCAGAGAGAACCGAGCGGGCUGAGCUGUGUGCAUAUGCCUGUGAGGACGGAGGUUCAAGCCCAAGAAAAAAUGAAACUGUUACCUCUGAAAAAGAAGAAAAUGUCUUAUCCGCAUCUUCGAAGUUAACGGAAGAGAAGACACCUGAAGUGGCCAAAGAAGCAGCGUUACCUGAAAGUGUUCCCGCCCUCCCUCUUGCCAGCCUAAACAGAGGAAGAAAGGAGGCAAGUGAUGCAAGUCACAGCGGGCAUGGCCCUUUCUUUCGGGAAGCUCCGAACACCUAUUUUCCUAACUCUGAAAGCAAAAUGCAAGCCACAGAUCAGAGUGAGAAAGAACAAGAGAUGACAGCAUCUGAGGACGGGCCUUCAGAAGCAGACGCGUGGAGCCCUGCACCAGGUAGUCGCUGCCCUGAGGAUAAUCAAGAGGCUCGUGAGCUCGCAAGUGCAGUCACACUUGAACGGGAAAACCCCUCGCCCCCUGACGUACUGGAAGAAAGAACAGCAGGAAAGAAAAAGACUGUUGGAAAACAAAAAAGCAAAUCAUCUUUGGAAAAAUUCCCAAAACAGGAGCCAUCAAAUUUUGUUGGUGACUGGCCAGUUGAUAAGACAAUUAGCCAGAGAACCAAAAGGAACCGGAAAACUGAAAAAGGUGUAUCUGUACCAAGUGACAAAAAAUGUAAUCGCCCUCAGUCCCACAAAGUAUUAGAUACGAGGGUACCUGUGAUUACUGAUCAUAUCCAGCACCGAGGAUCUCCACAUGGAAAUGAUGCUCUUUCAGAAGUGCCCAGUAGCUAUCACUAUGAUACUUACAGAAGUACUGAGCAAACCUCCUUCAGUGCUGUGGGCGACUGGCCCUCAUCAUCUGCUUUAGCUCAGAGAGAGCACAGAUCAAGAUUACCAAAAGCUGGCUUCAGUGAACCCAACUUAGAAUUUGGAACUAAUGACAGCAUGGGUAAAAUACCUUUAUACCCAGCACAUGAGGCCUAUUGGGGCACAAGCCCCGAAGAACUGAAAACACUGGGUUCCACAAUUCGAGGUUCUGAAAUGCUACCUAGUAAAACAACUCAUGAGGAUCAGACUUCCCUGGGUAAAACGGUUCAUAGUCAGCACACACUGCCUCUUCCCUUUUCCAGUAGUACAGCAACUCUUCCUGGAGUAGUGGGACCCCGUUCUCUAGCAGAAUUUCCAGGGGGGAUAUCUGGAGUUUUUCCUGGAAUAGAUACAGGCACUUGUACCCAGACUGAGCCCCAAGAUUUUGCUCUCUUGUGGAAAGUAGAAAAGAAUAAAGUCAGUGUUUCAGAUUCUGUUAGAGUGUUGACAGGAAAAUUGGAUGGGUUUAGGCCAAAAGAUUUCACUCUUAAUACAAAAUUAAAUGUUCAGGAAACAAUUCCUUAUAGAGUAAUGCAUGAUAAAAGUACGUAUGUUGAAGAAAGUGAGCUUACCAGCGCUGACGAAUCUGAAAAUCUUAACAUCCUUUGUAAACUGUUUGGAUCCUUUUCUUUAGAAGCCCUGAAAGAUUUAUAUGAAAGAUGUAAUAAAGAUAUUAUUUGGGCUACAAGCCUUUUGUUAGAUUCUGAGACUAAAUUAUGUGAGGAUGCUGAGGUUGAGAGUCCCCCCAAAUCAUAUGAUGAGUCACAAGUUGGGCCAUUUUCUAUGGGGUUGGAUUUGAAGGAAAUUAUUAGCCACAAAGGAACCUCAGAAGAUUCUAAUUCUUCUGUGUCAGAAUUUAGUUCUGGUCUUGGUAUCAGCAACAAUAGUGCACAGUCUGCUAGUGAUGCAGAAAAGGGGAAUUCAAAGCAGGAAGAGCUAAGAACUGCAAAUCCUGAAAACCGUGAAUUAAUAACCAGAAUAUUCCCUCAUGCUGCUGUAAAUGUAAGGAGUAACCAUGAAGGAGUUCCUAACGGUCGGGCUGAAUUGCCAGGUGCAUAUAGCUUUACACUGUCUCUUCCACUUACUCCAAAAUCUAAUAUCCCUGAAGAUGCAAAUGAAGUGGAGAAAAAUCUGUUAGCCACAGAGACUGGAGAUAAUAUUCAUUCUUUUUUAAACUUAUCUGAUAUUAUAAACUCUGCCACAAGCACUUCAAAUCCUGAAUUAAAUGAAGAUGUUUAUCUUGCUGGCUCUUUGGAAGUACAAAAAAAUGAAAAUCUUCCUAAGGAUUAUCUGAAAUUUGCAAACAUGGAGGACUUUAUCAAUGAAGAUACACAGGAAAUGGAGAAAACUCUAAUGCCAGGAGCUGGUUUGUCAGCAGGAGUAAGUGAAGAGGGUAAAAUUGAGGUGUUGAAUCCCACACCAGCAAUGGCCAGAUCUCUCACCAUAGACUGUUUGGAGUUGGCAUUGCCCCCUGAGCUGGCUUUUCAACUUAAUGAAUUAUUUGGCCCAGUUGGUAUUGAUUCAGGGUCUCUAACAGUUGAGGAUUGUGUGGUUCACAUAGAUCUGAACCUGGCUAAAGUGAUUCAUGAGAAAUGGAGAGAAUCUGUAAUGGAGCGGCAGAGACAGGAGGAGGUUUCUUGUGGCAAGUGUAUUCAAGAUCAUUCGCUGGCUGGACAUGCUGUUCUCGAUAAUUCUGAACAAAAGUCAUCUCAAAAAACAGGCAAAAAAUUAUUGAAGACUUUAGCAGCACCUGAGACACUGGAUCCUUGGAACACUCAAACAAAAAAAGUUUCACUGCGAGAAAUAAUGUCAGAAGAAAUUGCCUUACAGGAGAAACAUGACCUGAAAAGGGAGACAUUUAUGUUUGAAAAAGACUGUGCCACUAAACUAAAGGAGAAGCAGCUCUUUAAAAUAUUUCCAGCCAUUAAUCAAAAUUUCCUGGCGGACAUUUUCAAAGAUCACAACUAUUCACUGGAACACACAGUGCAGUUCCUAAACUGUGUUCUUGAAGGAGACCCUGUGAAAACAGUUGUAGCGCAGGAGUGCGUUCAUCAAAAUGAGAGCACCACUUCUCAUACUGCACUGAAAUCAAAAGAGAAAAAGACAAAGAAACAGAAAGAGACUGAUGACACCCCAGGUGACCCGUCUUUCCAGGAUUUUGAGUACCCUGAGUACGAUGACUACAGGGCGGAAGCUUUCCUACACCAGCAGAAGAGGAUGGAGUGCUACAGCAAAGCUAAGGAGGCCUAUCGCAUGGGGAAGAAGAAUGUGGCCACCUUUUAUGCUCAGCAGGGCAGUCUUCAUGAGCAGAAAAUGAAGGAAGCCAACCACCUCGCUGCUGUGGAGAUCUUCGAGAAAGUCAAUGCCUCCUUGCUGCCGCAGAACGUCUUAGACCUCCAUGGGCUGCAUGUGGACGAGGCUAUAGAGCAUUUGACAACAGUUUUACACCGGAAAACAGAAGAAUUUAAGCAGAGUGGUGGUAAGCCCUAUCUUUCUGUGAUUACGGGGAGAGGAAACCACAGCCAGGGAGGAGUUGCUCGAAUCAAACCAGCUGUCAUUAAAUACCUCACAAGCCACAGCUUCAGAUUUAUAUUGUCUGGUAAAUGAGAAACCAAAGAAAAAUACGGCUUUUGUCAGUGAUGAUGCUAAGACUUUCUUAGACAUCCCUGCACUCCUCUGUUAGUGCUCUGCCCAGUAGAACUAGAUGACGUGAGAGCUUAAGACUUGCUAAUUUUGAAAGAGUUCUCUGAAAUUAAACCAGGGUGCUUGAAAGUCAUGCUAAAGUAAAAUUUAAAAAGCCCUUGACUUAGAAGUAUGAAGGUUUGUAGAUUGAAAUUGAUUUUACUUGUAGUAAUACAGUCAGUUCUUCUUUCAAAUGUGUUUUAUUAGGAAUGUAAAACAAAAAUGUUUUUCAGAAUUCAAGAAAAGUUUUUACUGGAUCAAAUACCAACCUGUUACUUGUUAAAACAUUAAAAGAAAUUUUUAUUGAUUAUAAAAUGUCUAAAAAAUUAUAACCUGCAUUUAAAAGUCUUAAGUUCUCUAGUUGCUUCUUAGGAAAACAAAACAACAACAACAACAAAAACAAAAAAAACAAAAAAACACUGCCUUUGUAUUAACUGUUUCACAUUUAGGAAAGUCCUAAGGCAUCUCUGAGGACAGUGCACCUGGUUCCUGCCUCGUGAUGGAUAGUGUUAAAAGCAGGAAUAGUAAAGGAGGAAGGUGAUCAGCAAAAGCAUGAGAUUUUUUUUCUGCUUUCAGAGCCUAACACAAAAUCAGUUGAUUUUGUUGUGUUGUGCCGACAGGCUGACACUCUGUGUCUCUGAUUCUCAUCUCUUUCCUCUUGUGCUGUUGUGUGCAUUUUCUGGGAGGAAAGGUUGGGUCUGAGAGUAACUUGGAGUCUCAGCUUCCGUAGGUAGGAAAGCUUUCAGAGACGGAGAAGUGGCUAGGUGUCUCCAGUGUGCCGCUGCCAUGGGACUCCUCAUAGAACUGCCCAAGCGCAGUGACACACGGUAGACACAGCUAAAGGCUGUUUUAUACUUGAGACUUCAUUUCUAAGCAACAGUGAGUCAGUCUUAUUGACUUAAGUGCAAAAACAUUUUUGGUAUAACUGUAAAAGAAACCCUUGUAAAUUAGAAAGGUUUUUUAUCUUUAUUUUGCAAAGGAGCCAACUUUCUGAAAAGCCUCAUUGAGUUCUUUGCGCUAGUGUCCUGUUCGUAUGUAAAGUCUGAUUUUCUUAAUACAGACUCAGUAUGGUGAAGUGUAAUUUUUCUAGAAUGAGACAGUAGUUAAAAUAAAUCUAACUUUGGAUAUACAGAGUAUUCAAUAUAUAUGGUGUUCCCAAACAGUUACGUUGCUUUUUAGCACCAUCAUUGCCCUGCACUGAAAGUACUGACAGAUAGAAAGCUCCCAAAGAGCAGACAUUUUAGUGGGAAUAAAACUGAAAAGUACGUUUUUACAUCUUGUGAAUCAUGCUUUAAAAAAAAGAGCCUUACCAUUGGGUUUUAUUUUCACAAAAACAAAAAACUGUUUGUUACCUACAAAUGGUUAGUGAUUACUGAUACCCAAGUAUUUAUAUUUUUAGACAUAUAAUAAUUUGUUCUAAAAGUUGUAGUAGUGUAGCACACCGUUUUUGGUGAUGCUUAGAAGUGUUACAUAGGCUAAAGCAGCUCCCUUUUACAAUUUAGUACAAGAACCAUAAUCAGUAGUUAGUGAAGUAAGUGUAUUUCUGUGUUCAAGGUAAUAUAAUUUUAAAAAUGAGGAAUAUUAAACCUGGAAUUAUUGGAGUGUUGCAGCUGCAUACUCAUUUUCUGUGUUUUAUAUUUUCUCAUGUUUAAAAAAAAAUCACAUUUGAGUUCUUCAGACAUAUGGUUAUAAUUAAUAAGAAAGCAGUGACAAGAAGUGCAGGCGUGUUGUGCCGUGGGUGGAAGCCACUGCAAAGCAGCUGUUCUCAUGCUGUGCCCGUCCUGAUUUUGAGCAGUUUAUGAUGGAGUAAAUCUUACACAGACCUGAAAAUUGUUACGCAGACCAGGUUGGCCUAAAAACUCACAAUCUUUCUGCCUUGCCCCUCCUAAAUGUUGAGGCUGCAGGUGUGUUUUGCCAUUCUUGGCUUCAUAUUUCUUAAUUACUAUCUAUAAAUACACAAAGUUUGAACAUUAUAUAUAUUUAUAAUCCCAAAAUUUCUCCAACCCUAUCUGCUAUUGUGUAAGCCGUUAUAAUUAUGAAGGAAUAUUCUCUGAACUUUCUUUUGCCAAUCUCUGAAAUUUGCGUUCCCAACAGAGGUAGAGAUACUUUGAAGAUUAUCAAAGAUUUUUCUUUUGCCCACUUCUGAAUUUUCUGUGAGAGGUAAAGAAGAUUUAGAGAUGAUCCAGGUUAGAAGAACUCUUUGUAAACUUAGUAUUUUAAAUCAUUUUAAAAGUACAGCAUUUCUUUCCCCCAAAUCAGAAGAGCUUAGUAGCAGUUAUAUAUAUUUAAUAGUCUGUUACUGGUAUGAACCCAAUGAAAAAAGAUAAUUGAUAGCAACAGCUAAGCAUUGAGUAAGAUGGGCCAGGGCUCUCACGACCAUUUUCAGUCCAUUUCCUUGUUUCUGUGAGAAAAUUGGAGCAUGUUUUCUGACGUUUAUUAGCUGGUGAUGUAUUGCUGUUAUUUUCAAGUUGAAGGUUUUUUUUUUUUUUUCUGUUAGUAUUUCCACACUGCUUAUAUACUGUGACAUUUAAGUAUCAUCCAUAUUAUAUAGUGGAAACUGUGACUGAAAGGAUUUGUGCUAUAACAGAUUUUGAGAAGAAACAGCCUCCAGUUCUUUGGGGUGGUUUCCUGUCCUUUGUUUUGGUCUUUCUUUUCAAAUUCAAGUGUUAGAAGGACAUGUGUAAUGACAAGGUUAGUUCUUUCUGAGCUGGCAGUUGGAAACUUUUGAAAAUCAAGAAAUUGCUCUGACAAUGUUUUAACAGCUCUCAAGAAAAUGUAUGAAAUGGACAAAAAUAAUGUGUGCUGCUUUUUCCGAGUGCUUUUUCAUUGUGCAAUGAAGUGACUUUGAUAAUGCUCUGUGCUGUGCUUAAAUGUUGAUUAUUUUUUAAUUACCUGUAAAGAAAACAGAUUGAAAUGUCUCUGUGGCCAAAACCGAGUGCCAUUUAAAAGGAAAAGUGAUUGUAUGUUAAUGGUGCUUAUUUUUAAAGUGUAAUUUAAGUUUACAGUAUUACUUGAUGUCUCUUUACAGAAGUGAGUAGAGAAUCAAGGCUAGAACACACCUAGCAGUGUCCUAAAGCCUGCAGAACCUCAGUUAGAGGAUAACAGAGUUCAUUCAUUGUGUCCUCAUAUUUGAGCGGUUGACUUCAUGGUCAGGUGAUGAACCUACUCUUGUCAACCCCAAGACGUCUCAUUAAAGUGCCACAUUGCAGCUAGCAGUUGAAGAAUAGACUAAAUGCUUUUCAGACAGUAUAUCAGAAAUAAUAUGCUUUUAUUUGUACUAUAAAAAUGUGAUUUUUGCUGUCAACUCUGUACUUUUUUAUUGAAAAUGUUUAUAACUUUGCUUUUAAAAUUUCUUAUGAAACCAUUUGCAAAUUACACAGUUAAUAUAAUAAAAUGCUUUGGUCACAGUCCAGUGUGAGGAAAUCUUUCGUUUGAUGUGGUAGUUUUAGUUGCUUAAAUAUUAAAGAAGAGUUUUGCUGUAUCUUUGUGAUCCUCUGGGAUUUCUUUCAUAAAAUCUCCAGUUCUGUAUAACUGUUCCAGCUUGUGUUGCUUUUGCAGGGGGUUCACUUUUGGCCCAGAGAAGUGGCUUAGCAGCUGAGCCUCUCUUCACACCUUCACUUCUUUUCACUGACAUCAAAACUAGGAGUUAUUAUUUGUGCCUGGUAGAAACACAAAUAAUACUUUAACAUCAGCUUUAUUCAGCCCCCCCCCAAAAAAUCAGUAUUGUCAGUUAUCAAAGGUAUUAAAAUACUUAAUCAACAAAUAUUUAUUGAAUGCUUGUUACUGAAGAUACAGUGUAAGGCAGUUUCUACCCAUGGGUGUCUUAUAGUCUCAAUUAAUUUGUUUAUAGUGAUUAAUAUUGCCUUCUGUUUUCAUAUGUUUACUUGUGGAUCUCUGGGGAUCUUCUUACACAGAUGGUGCUACCCCAGUUCAGGGGAUAGAGACAUACAGGAUUAGAGAAGGUUUAACUGGCUUGCCAGUCAGCAGCAGAGGCCCAAUUCCAGCCUAGAUUAUCUGAUCCCUAGUGUGUAACAGCUGCAUAUGUCCUUAAAAAGAGAGAAGAGAGCUGGGUGUGGUGGUGCAUACCUUCAAUCUCAGCACUCUGGAGGCUGCAGAGACAGGAGGAUCUCUGUGAGUUUGAGGCUAGCCUGGUCUACAUAGUCCUAGAACAGCCAGACCUAUAUAGUGAGACCCUGUCUCAAAUAAGAAUAAUUUAAAAAGGAAAGAGGGAGGGGUGACUGGUUAGCAUGUCUUGAAAAUCUCCCAUUUCUGAAGCUGCCUCCAUCCUGCAUCCAGAGAGCUGCUGUUUGGGGGGGGGGGGAUCAAGUACUUUGGGCAAGACAUAAUGGCUUAUUUAUCUCUUGAUAGUAAAUGCUAGAGGUAAAGAUCUAAGACUGGUGUGAGUGCUUUUUCCAAGAACCUUUUUGGAGGAUUUAAUGUCCUUUUAGUUUUCUGUCAUACCUGGCCUCUAACCACUUUGUUUUGUUGGAAGGACAGGAAGUUAGCAGAGGGCAGGUGCCAGCACUCUGAAAGAUACUUUUUAGGAGCUGCUGUAGGUUGGAUGUUUUUAUUUGCAUUUUAUUAGCCAAAAUGUAGUCAUGUGGUCACAUGUACCUACAAGAAAGUCGUGAAGUUCUGUUUCUGACUGCGCUAUUUUCAGCCAAGUUUUGAAUGUUAUUUUGAAAGAAAGGAAUGGCUGUGAGGGGAAUGAAUAGCAGUCUCUUGUGUGUAGGUGUGUGUGUGUGUGUGCGUGUGUGUGUGUGUGUGUGUGUCUGUGUGUGUGUAGAAAUUAGCUCUCGAUGCAUUCCUUGUGCAGGUGACUGAUAAUUUCCAACUACUAAAGAAUAAUAAGGGAAAUCUACAGUGUUAUGUGUUUUGAUUUUAAAUAUUCAAGUAAUCUUACUAAUGAAUAUGGCUGAGGAAAUGGAUUUUGGGGUUCAUAAUUUAUUAACAGGAUAACUUUUGAUCUGACAAAUUAGUUGUAGCAACUGAGUAGGGCAUGUAGAUUAUUUCUGGUGAUAAUGUUUAUUCAUGUGCAUAUUACUUUCUGCUUCCCCAUGUCCAAAAGCUCAGUAUUUGGUGCUUGUGGUUUCCAACAAGCAGAACAGGCUAGGAGAUAGGAUUCCAUUUGCGUCUGAGGACUCAGCUUGUUUGUAAAGAAGGGACUGGGGGUGUGUGUGAAGGAGGUCACUGUUUUGCAGAAGAUGGGUGAGCUUAAACACAGCUUACUGGCUACAAAUGUAAAAUCAAAUGUCCUUCUGUAAGGAAAGGUUGAAGCAUUUGGAAGUCCUUAUUUUGGUCUUUAUGUGAGUUCAUGUGCCUUUGCUGGGGUUCUGGAGCAGUCCUUGUGGUCACCUCAACUUCUUUCAUUUGUUAGAAAUUAAUUAGUUUUAAAAGCUGGAGAAAUAGUAGCUUGUUAAUAUCACUGAAGUUUCACAUUAUAAGCAGAUUUGUUACGUAAGGGUGGAGAAAGGACAGUGUGUGGCCUACCAGUAGUCUGUCUUCGGCGAGGUGCGGGGAGCUGCAGGCUGUGGGACUGAGGUGACGAAGUGCAUUGAUAGUGGCCACUUAGUUAUUACAAGAUGGUACUGAAUAUACUUUCUUUACCAUGGCAUUAGAUAAAUACCCUUUUAAACAAGCUGUGAAACCAUGUCUCAGAACCCAUGUUUACUUUUGAACCCCUUGUCUAAAGACAAGGCCUGAAGGCCUGUAGAUUGCAUUCUCACUGUGUCAAAUGCUGUAACAAGUGAGGUUGUAUUAGGAAUGACAUUGUACACUGCCCACAGUUUUCAAAAUCUGAGAAAUUUAGGAUGCCCCCUCAAGAAAAUGAAAGCGUCAUUGUGGGGACAAGUCCUGCUUGCAGCACAAGGGGACUUUUGGGGAAUGUAGCCCUGUGGUCUUCGUAAGGAAAGGGACCUCAUGACAUGGCGUGGCUUAGUCAGUGCUCCUUGAAGGAUGCAGUUAGGAUAAAUUAUGCUUCGCUAUUGUCACAUCAGCCUGAUCUGUUUAAUACAAGAUAUGUGCAUGUUUUUACAUACUUGGACUGACCCGUUGGAGGAACUGGGAAAAUUACAAGUUCUGAGGGAGAGUAUUGGCGCUCUAAAAAUAUUUACCUAAUUGGCAAGUGGUUAGAGGGUCUGCCAAAACCAGGUGAAAGCACUUUUUGCAAAAGGUGCAAAGGUCACACACAGCUUGAGCUCGGGGCACGAGACCGAAGACAAAGCUCAGAAAACUUGGUACUAAUAAGAGACACCACAUAAACUAGCACCCUAAAGAACUUUACCCUUGAAGACAAAUAAUGUUGUCUUCACUCCAGAAGGCUGCAAAGAAUAUUGCCUUGGCCAUGAGCAAAAGUUUAAUCUUUAGUUUUCACAGAUUAACAGCCAAAAACCACAUAACUCAUGGUAACCAACAAGCAACAAAACCACCUCCCUCCCCAGGGAGGGACUGUGUUUAAGUGUCCCCAGACUGGUAAUGCCAUUGUUAGCUACCUAUCCAAGGGGGAUCUCAGAAAAGCCACCUUCAUCCUGGAGGACGACGUGACGCCUUUGUACCCAGCAACAUAGAGGAAUUGUGGAAGACUGAAGGAUGAACUGUGUCAAACAAACCAUCGGGCACAGUCUCCAAAUUACAGUGUGGGAAGCAAACAAGAGGAUUUCUUCAGAACCAGUUGCAGAAAAGAACACAGAUAAAAGGAGGACUUGCACAUCAGGGCCUGAAACGUGUCAGCCAGUUUUAUUUGUGGACUUUAUUUGGGGACUGGCUCAGCAAAACAAACUGUAUGGCAAUAAAAGAUGAUUAACAGUG